AAUGGGAAAGAGGUGUUGACAGAGAACGUCAAAUAAUGCCCCAUGUCAUGAGAAUUUUUUCUCCUUUGAAAGAGUGAAAAGAACAGCACAGCUAUUUCCUCUCAGAACCAGAACAAGUAAAAAUGGUGGUGGUGGAUAUACAAAAGCGUUACAUUUUGCACCAAAACAAUACUUUAAAAAAACCAAACGACAGAAUUUGUUGUAAAAAAAAAAAACCCUACAUGAAAUAGAAAUGUCAGAAGGAAAUAAGCAAAGAUUUAAACCCCACCCCCAUCUAAACAGACCCUGAGUUGAAAGAGAUUUUGCACCAAUCAUCUUUUUUGAGAAGCAAAUCUCGAUAAAGUGAUGCUUUUCUAACAUGUUAGCAAUUUAACCACUAGGGCAGCAACCUUUAAAAAAAAUUGACCUGUAUUUGUAGCUUCAAAAGCAAACUUUCUUAUCUGUUUAUUCAAAGCAUCCAUUUCACAUACCAGUUCACUGCACUUUAGUUUCCUGCUCCUUUUCAGUUUACAUCUUUGAGAGGAACUCAAUGAAAGAACACCCAAUUUUCAUCCAGAAAGCCAUGGGCCCAAAUCCGACGCCUCCAGGAAAGUGAAUGAUGAAUGCCAACCAAGUAAGAAGAGGAGAGCAGACAAUGGCAAGGAGAGUGCACGAGUGAAAAGCAAGUGAAAGAAGACAGACUAUCAGUCCAUACGUUGAAGCAAAUGAAAAGGAAAACUCUUGUUCAUCCUGUCACCUCUGUCUCCUUGCUGAGGUUGAGCAGUUGUGCCACAGGCAAAAAUAAGACACAGCAUGUCUCAGCACUUCCCUAGGGAAACGUGUUCCUUCUAUUCCAACCCAACUUCAGCGACAAAGUUACUGCUCUAAUCCCAAACUUAUAAUUGUGCUAUACCUACAGUAUUUGUAACUUUAAUCUUUCAUCUUUCAUAAGUCAUAAAACUGAAAGGGGAUUCAUCAACCAUUGAGUACAAACUUGCCCAAUGCAAGAUCUCCAGCAAAAAACAUCCCCAGCAGAUAACUAUCCAGCUUCUUUCUGAGGGUGUACAGAGAGACCCAAAGCACAAAAUAUAGUGAGAUUAUUACCGUAUUUCCCUUGACUUUGCAACUAGAGUUACAAGGAGCAGCUUCUGGACAAAUUUUGUUGAAACAGCUUCUGGGCAAAUUUCAUCAGCCCAGAAUUGUACAUCAGAUAUAUAUUAAUCUCCUGUAUUCUAUCACCUGAAAAUUGUUAAGUGAUAGCUAGUUAAAUUGGUUGUAAAAGUAUUCAUCUGUGUCACUAAUUAAUUUAACAGAACGAUUCAUUUUCAAGAAUGGAUGUUAUCAUUCAUAUCAGAUAAGAUCUUGAUCAUCACCUUAAUCAUUAUCACCUUCAUCAUCUUUUUUCUCCUCUUCCUCCCCCCCCCCCUCCUCAUAUACAUCUCACCUUUCCCCCGAAACAGGGACUCCAGACAGCAGCAAUACUGACAGGAAAAUAUGUGAACAACAGUUAUGUAGAAAAAUAUUUUAGGGUUUUUUUAAAUUCUACAAUAGGCAUGGAAUGAUGAACACUUUACAUGCUACUUCUCUUAAAACAAUGUCUUUAUAAAUAUUCUAGGGAGCUUACCCACAGCUUUCAUAAAAUGUAAGGCCAUUGCAAUUAUUAGUUCAUUAAUUAUACACUGAAAAGACCAUCUCCUCUUUUUUAAACUUAAAAAUACCUCUCCUGGAUGUAGGGCAUGCUGAACACAUACUGACUUUAGCUCAAAUCCAACCUGACAGCAACAGAAGCAUCAAGGUUUUAGGGUUUCAAAAGAAAAAUCUCCCUAAAUAGUUGCAGGAUGGCAGCACAAAAAAAUUUCCUGAGAUGGGGUUGGGACUUGCACUUGACUGGAAUGAAAAUUGCAAUCUAGUGCAGUAUUAUCAGCCCUGUGGAACAAUAUUGGAAACUCAGUCUUAGGCCCCUUCCACACUGCCCCUUUAUCCCAGGAUCUGAUCCCAGAUUAUCUGUUUAUCCCAGGUUAUCUGGCAGUGGGGACUCAUAUAUUCCAGUGUAAAGUAGAUAAACCGGGAUCUGAUUCUAGGAUAAAGAGCAGUGUGGAAUGGCCCUUAGAUGUCAUUAUAGCUACUUAUUGGGUCAGAUUAGAUGAUUAAAGGGAGUUAACAUGUUUUCUUUCUCAUAAUAGAGUUACCUCAGAGAUUUGUGCUUUAGCAGUCAGAUUUGCCAAUUAAGAUCAAGUUUGCCUCCUGGUGACCAGUCACAACACAAACCACCUUAAAUGUAAGACGAACAGUUGAAGAUAACACCCUACAAUGAGCAGAUGUCACCAUUUGAAGGAACACCUUCAUUAAAUUCAAACAUACCUUGAUUAACAAAUCCUCUGAUAAAGAAACUCCUCUUUUCAGAAAGUGUUUUUUUAUGGAAGUCUAGUCCUCCUUUCUUGUCUUCUAUCUAGCUGGAAGACAGUGUUUUGGGAGGAGGUUGGGUUUUUUUUUGUUUUGGUGGGAAGGAUGGUGAAAGAGGGUGGAAGAAAGAUGUCUGUGCCUUGUUUGGUUGGAGUGGCAUGUCUAUAAUAAAAAUACAAUAAAACUUGAUCUCAGAAAGAAUGGAAUUCUGUUUUCAGUACUGUGUGCUUCCUUACAACAGGCAAAGUAAAGAGCUGCCUCCAGAAUCAAUUAGGGCCCUUCCACACAGCCAUAUAACCCAGAAUUAUCAAGGCAGAUAAU